rnacentral:rRNA from 1 species
AGGAUGAACGCUAGCGGCAGGCUUAACACAUGCAAGUCGAGGGGCAGCACGUCUUCGGAUGGUGGCGACCGGCGCACGGGUGAGUAACGCGUAUGCAAUCUACCUUUUACUGGGGCAUAGCCCGGGGAAACCCGGAUUAAUAUCCCAUGGUACCAUGAUAUAGCAUUAUAUUUUGGUUAAAGCUUCGGCGGUAAAAGAUGAGCAUGCGUCCUAUUAGCUUGAUGGUAAGGUAACGGCUUACCAUGGUCUUUGAGUAGGUAGGGGUCUGAGAGGGACGACCCCCCACACUGGUACUGAGACACGGACCACGACUCCGUACGGGAGCAGCAGGUGAGGAAUAUAGGACAAGUGGCGUAGAGCCUGACUCCAGCCA